GACGAACGCUGGCGGCGUGCUUAACACAUGCAAGUCGAACGGAAAGGCCCCAGCUUGCUGGGGUACUCGAGUGGCGAACGGGUGAGUAACACGUGGGUGAUCUGCCCUGCACUCUGGGAUAAGCCUGGGAAACUGGGCCUAAUACCGGAUAGGACCGUGCUUUAGUGUGUGCGGUGGAAAGUUUUUCGGUGCAGGAUGAGCCGGCGGCCUAUCAGCUUGUUGGUGGGGUAAUGGCCUACCACGGCGGCGACGGGUAGCCGGCCUGUGAGGGUGUACGGCCACAUGGGGACUGAGACACGGCCCAGACUCCUACGGGAGGCAGCAGUGGGGAAUAUUGCACAAUGGGCGCAAGCCUGAUGCAGAGGCGCCGCGUGGGGGAUGACGGCCUUCGGGUUGUAAACCCCUUUCGGCAGGGACGAAGCUGUUGUGACGGUACCUGCAUAAGAAGCACCGGCUAACUACGUG
rnacentral:rRNA from 1 species